rnacentral:misc_RNA from 1 species
AAUAAGGGCUAGGAUUUAAUGGUACUAGAAUUUAUCUUUAUUUCUUUAACAAACUCCUAAUCUAAUGGUCUAAAUUUAACUCCUAAGAAGAAUGAAUAGCUAAGAUCACUUUGUACCAUUUUGUCAUUUUCACUUUUAAUUCUAAGGUCCCAAUUAAUUCUUACAAAAAUAAAGGGCCAAGAUUAAAAGGUAUAAAAUGCUUUAACUAAUUUUUAAUCUAAGGAUAGAAAUUA